GGAAAAUAGGAAGAAAUGGCAGAAGAGUGCUGUAGCUGGGUUUCCAAGAGAAAAAGGAGAGAGGAAUGGGAAGACACCAGAGCAGCACUCAACCACCCAUGAGGGAACCCCUGGUGAUGUGCAUGGUACUCCCAUAUGGAGUCAACACUCAAACGCAAGGCCUAAUGUGCAAGGAUUCAGAACAGAGAAGCCAUGGUAGAAAUCUAACAGGAGAGUUGCAAAUAUGAUCUGAAUCCCAGCCCUACCCCAGCCUGACUACCCUGCCUUGUAUAUGUUCCUUUAAGAAAUGCAUUUUUCUGUUUCAUUUAGCAAGUGUUGGCUUCUACCAUCUGCAACAGAGAAUGAUUGAUCCUCAGAAAAUAGGCCACACGACCAGGAAGUUAAGUCAGCAUUAGAGCUGCAUACAACAGGACUUGCAAAGCCUGAGACCCCAGAUUCGAUUCUUGGUGUCACCAUAUGCCAGAGAUGAGUGAUGCUGUGGUGUUCACCCCGUUUACCUGCUAUGAUUAUCUACUCUCAUAAAAUUAAAUAAAUAUUGGGAGUUGGGUGGUAGCGCAGCGGGUAAGGGGCAGGUGGCGCAAAGGGCAAGGACCUGCUUAAGGAUCCCGGUUUGAGCCUCCCCAGCUCCCCACCUGCAGGGGAGUCGCUUCACAGGCAGUGAAGCAGGUCUGCAGGUGUCUAUCUUUCCUUCUCUCUAAAAUAA